CUUGGCUCACUGCAACCUCGGCCUCCCAGGUUCAGGUGAUUCUUCUGCCUCAGCCUCCUGAGUAGCUGGGACUACAGAUGCAUAAUCAAAUAUAUAAGUAAAAAUUGACAUUUCCUUUGAGAACUACUUGGACAGUGACCUGAACAUCUCAAGAAAAACCUUGGUGGAAUUGCAUGAACCUGAUUUGGGUCAAAAUUAAGCACCACGCUGAAAAUCAUGCCUUUGUGAAAUGACAAAUUGAAAGUGUUCAGAAAUUGCAUUUGAACUAGUUGAGAUCCUGAUACAGGGUCAAGUGGUGAGUUGUGAAGAUGAUGUAUGAUGUGAUGGAGGAAAGUUCCAGGUCUAGACCUACAGACAGUCCUGGUAAAAUCAGUGAUGGAAAAUCACACAUAGGACCUGAAACUGAAGUCAUCAAUGAGGAAUUACAGUUUCUAUGGACUGAAUGCCUGUAUCUCUGGCCAAAAUUCACAUAUGAAGCCCUACCUAACCCCAGUGUAAUAGUAUCUGGAGGUGGGGGCUUUGGGAGGUGAUUAGGUCAUGAGGGUGGACCCCUCAUGAACGGGAUUCGUGUCCUUAUAAAAAUGGACACUGAGAGAGAUAAUCUCUCUCCCUCUGUUACAAGCGAAUACAGCAAGAAGGCAGCCAUUUGCAAACUCGGAAAAGAGUUCUUACCAUCUAUGCUGGCAUCCUGAUCUCAGACUUCCAGCCUCAAGAACUCUGAGGAAUAAAUGCUGUUUAAGCCACCCAAUCUAUGGUAUUUUUGUUAUAGCAGCCAGAAGUGACUAAGGCGACAGUCUUCAGGACACAGAGAAGCUGCUCCUUGUGAUGAAAGCCACUCUUCAAUGAGCUUUGUGCAGGCUGGUGAUCCACGUGGUCCUACCCCCCCUCCACCUGCCCCACCGUGUGUCUCUGUGGCAAACAACUCACAAGUGCAACAGUGGCCUGGCAGACUGAAAACACACUGACCUACAGGCCACUGCUAUUGGUAAGAGGUGCCAGAGAGAUGCAAAUGGCAGCGCCAGUCCUUGGAGGAGCCAGUCUGGGGCCCCUGGCUGAUGUUGGCAGAAGACACAUCCCUCUCUCCCUUCAAGGAUGCUGAAGAGCUCUCUGUCUACUAGUACCCUGGGCCCACUUUUCUCUCCAACAAGGUGCAGAAAAGGGCAUCGUUGCCAGGUUUGCAAGAUCGUAACAAGACAGUGCAUUGUAGGUAUAAUCUGCCGGAAUGAGGAGGCGCUCAGCCUGCGCGGAUUGGAAGGGCCACAUAAACAUCUGUCAGUCCAUUGACAACAGCACCCAGAAGCCCGAAUUGUGACUUCACACCGAUUUCUUCCCCUGCUAUAAAUUCUACAAGAUCGUCAACAUAAAUAAGACUUUCUCC
rnacentral:lncRNA from 10 species